AUUAAUAGAGCUUGACAACAACAUUCAAUGACAACACACGAUGUAGCUUGAUCUUAGCACUCGACGGUAACACAAGUGGAGCUUGACAAUAGUACUUGACAACAACACAUAGUGGUACAAGCGACAUUGAUAGUGACAAUGACCAAGUGGUUGAAGAGGAGAAUUGUCGUCGAGGUUAGCAUUUCUUUCAACUACUGUAGUGGUACGAACCAUUUUAUU
rnacentral:lncRNA from 1 species